rnacentral:rRNA from 1 species
GACCAUCCUCCAAGGCUAAAUACUCCUGACUGACCGAUAGUGAACCAGUACCGUGAGGGAAAGGCGAAAAGAACCCCUGUGAGGGGAGUGAAAUAGAUCCUGAAACCGCAUGCAUACAAGCAGUGGGAGCACCUUCGUGGUGUGACUGCGUACCUUUUGUAUAAUGGGUCAGCGACUUAUAUUCAGUAGCAAGGUUAACCGUAUAGGGGAGCCGUAGAGAAAUCGAGUCUUAAUAGGGCGUUUAGUUGCUGGGUAUAGACCCGAAACC